ACUGAGCAAGGUCAGGGAUUGAAUCCUCAACCUCAUAGUUCCCAGUCGGAUUCAUUAACCACUGAGCCACGACGGGAACUCCAAAGCCCUUUACCUUUGAUCAGAGUUUUCAGCCUCAGUACAGUGGCCCUUUGGGCUGGACACAUCUUUGUUUCGGAGGUGCUCUUGUUCACCAUAGGAAGUUUAGCAGCAUCCCUGGCUUCUCACUUGAUCUAAAAGCCAGUUCCCUGCCCUACCACUUGUCUUGACUGUUGUUGCAUAGACAUUGUCAAAUGUCUCUAAGGGUAAAAUUUACUCAUGGUUAAGAACCACUGCUUUAGAUUAUUAUCUCAUAUCACAGAUUCAGCCACUUCAGUUAUGUAGAUGCAUUUAACACAGAACUAUAUAUUUUUUCCAUAUUCAUACCCAACAGAGUCUGUGGUAUUGAAUAAUGCAAAGAUCAUUGACUAACAUUGAAACGUCUCUUUACAAGACUUAUUCUCUAAAUAUCUCCAUUCUACUAGCAUUUAUCCAAUUAGGAUCAGAAGGCAAGGGGGAGUCAUUUGACAAAGCAAGAAUGACAUUGGAUUUUAAAAGAUGAAGAAGGCACAUAUGUAGAAAUAAAACAACUGGCUGAACUCUCCAAAUACACAUACUUACUUCUGCUGAUGUAAAGAGUGGGCUUGAAGAAAGAUAACUUAUCUCCCAUUUAGACUUAAGCUAAACAACAGAAAAAUCCACUAAAAUAUAUAUAUGGAACUUUUAAAUUACAAUCCAUGGAGAAAUACAAGGAAAAAGAGGUAAAUAUUGCAUUGGUAUUCUAAACUGUUUCACAGGACAAUUUGCUUUUGAUGUUUAACAUUAGAAAAGAUGUGAAGAAAUACUCUUAUUUUAUGUUUGCUAAGCCAUUGACUUUACUGCUAUACUUUUACUGGUAUUUAAAUCAAAACUUAAUAGUCAUGUUCAUGGAGAGAUGUUUUGAAAUGGUAGUUUAGUUUUAUGACUUUUUUAUUUAUGUUAGUAACAGUGACCAUUCUCUACCCUUUCUGGUAGAAAGAUACACAUAAAUUACCAAAUAUACAACCUGUGGUCUAAACUGAACUAUUUUUUUUUUCUUUUAGGUUGAAGUAAAACUAUACUUCUUCCCACUACCCUUAUGAUCAAAAGUGCACAUUUCCAAUAUUUUUAGGCUUGGUAGAGACAAAUUAUAAGUAAGAACAUUGAAGACAUCAGAGCUAAAGUGACAAUAAAACCUCAAUACCAUGACUUUAAUUAUCAUUGGAUUUGGGGAUAUAACUAAACGAGCUAGUCUUGAGUGGUGCCUAAUUUCCAGUUGCCACAGACUCUAAAUAAUAAAAAAAAUUCAUAUGUCAGAAGGCUUGACCAUAAAAUCUUAGCAGAGAAGAACUUACUGGUGCCUUCUCUUCCUUUGAGGAUGAGCAUCUUAUUGACAUGUAUGAAACCAACUUAGGAUUUGAGUUGUUUUUUUUAAAGAAAAGAAUAUUGUGAAACAGAUCAAAGUGUCAUUUCACCACCUUCUGCACUGAAACAAAACUAAUUAUCUAUCUUUGAAUUUAUUUUUAUAUAAUACUGUUUAUCUUUCCUUUUUUAUCCCAGAGAGAUUUCCUUUUCUCUCCAGCUAGAUUUCAGCUUGGCUCUACUCAUUCAUAUUUUUAAAACAGACUCUAGUGUGUCAACGGGGUUUACAAGGUUAACGUGAAAAAUCUACAGAUUAGAAGUGUGCUGUGCAAUGUGAUAGUGAAUUGAUACAUAGAUACGUUACCGAAAUUGUGUGUUGUAAAGAAAAUAUAUUAACUGUAGACAAGUGAGCUGCACAGUUAUCAUGAUUUAUAAUUGUCAUAAAUCUCUCCAUAUCUAAAUAUUUUACCUCCAUUCAUUAUUCUUUCAUUCACUCAUUCAUUUCUUCAUUCAACAUAUAAUGAACGAGUCCUAACAUGGGUCAGGCACUGGAUCAGGCAUUUGCUAUUUCAAUUCUUGUUGUUCGUAAAGUUUCUAUAUUUUCUACAUAUAUAUGAACUCUAAAAUAUAUUAGUUGUAAUAGAAUAAAAAUUACCCAGAUAUACAUAUGUUCACAGUAUGUGGCUGUUUAACUUUUGUUUUUAGUGAUGGUACAGAUUAAUUUUUAAUUCAGAAAAUCUUUAUGCAGUUAAAUAACUAAAGACAGAAUUUCUGGGUAGGUUUUCUGUGGUAUACAACAUCAUGUUGGAGGUAAAGCUAAUUUCUGGAAAAAGCACAAGGGCAAUGUGAUUUAAUGCAUGGCAGUAUUGCAUGUUUGGAUAUAACUUUUUUUCUAUCUUUAUCUCCUUUUAGGGAGUUAGCUGGCUCAGAAGCCAGUGAGUCUACAUGAGAAACAAUGUAUUUAUAAUUAUUUUGCAUUCAUUCUCUUUGAAAUAGCACCAGCCUAAUGAACAAAUGGCUUUUUAAUACUGCAACAAUUUUAUAAACUUAGUUUUGUAUGUUCUAUUAUUAUCUGUUGUUUUUUUUUCCCCCACAUGAAAAUGGUCAAUUUGGGUUUACAACUAAUUUCUAUUUCCUCAUGAUGAAAAGCUAUUUUUCCUUCAUAUCUGUGUGAUUAAUUCUCUCAUCUUCUUCAAGAGUGUGCUCAAAUAUUAGCUUUCCUAUGAGGCUUUUCUUGGCCAUCCUAUCUGAGGAGGCAUUUUUACCAGCAUGGUACUCCUCAUGCCCCUCUCUGUUUCAUUGUUCUCCACAACAUACGUUUCCAUCUGGUAGACUAUAUUAACUGUCACUGUUGGUCUCCCUUCACUGGAAUACAAGCUUAAUGAAAUGAGAGAAAUUUAUCCCUUUUGUUCCAGUUUCUGUGUCAAACAAUAGAACUGUAUCUGGCAAAUAGUAUACACUCAAUAAACAUUUGUAGCAAGAUUGAUGAAAUGGAUGUUUGGAAUAAGAAUCCAGUGACAGAUUUAUUUUUUCCAUAGCCUAUAAACUUCUUAAAGGUAGACGUGUCAUCACAUUUUAAGCUUGUUUCCCCAUACCCCCAACACACUGCCUUUAAAAAGCUAUGUUCAAUAAAUUUAUGUUCAUAAAUUGAUCAAAUAAGUAAUUAGAACUCAAUGAAAUGUUACCAAGUUAUGGAUUAACUUCAAUCCAUUGCGACCACAGAACUGAAGCCUUCUAGUUACAGAAUUUGAAACCAUCAUCUUUUUGUCAGGAAAAAAAUACAUUUUCAAGAAUGUUUUUCCUAUAAAGUACCAUUCUUCUACCUAGCAACCAUAAAUUUGACUUUGGUAUGAUGAAAGAGAAGAGAAACAAUAAAUAAAUCAUGAGUAUAUAUAAAAUAGGAUGUUAGAUAUUAAACAAUAGGAGAAAGGAAAUCAAGAGAAGGGCCUGGGAGUAAUUGGUGAGGCAAGAGAUUAUGAUAAUGGCUUAGUCCAGAUGCUAGGGGGGGAGAUGGUGAGUUAAAUUAAAAAUCUCCAAAUCUUGGGUUUUGCAACUAAAAUAUUAAGAUGAAAAUAGCGAUUGAUUUAGAGAGUGGUUGUUAGCAUCACAUUGGAUAAUGUAUGUAAAAUAUUUAGUCUAGUGGAGGGAGUGUAAUCAGUUGUCAAUAACUGUUAAAUGCAGUAUAUAGGCCUUAGAUAAAUAUGUGGCAAAUAGUCAUUAUUUUAUCAAAAUAUCAUUGAUAACAGAUGUUGAUAUCUGAAUACUGUUCUAUACAUGUGCCUGAGGUAAUCUAUAAAUUAUCACAGAACACAGGAUUCUUCCCUGACUAUAAAAGACAAGUAGGUUUGGAAAAACCACUAACAUAGUAAGUUAUUCAUAGAUAUGUUAGCAGGAGAAUAACGUCCGGUUUUUCUCGAAUUGCCUACUGCUGGCUGUCAAAGUCCUUGGGCAAUUCACAGAUUGAUUGAAAUGUCUAGAGUAAAGAAAUAGUGUUUUUGCAUUUUUGUUAUUUUUUUUUUGGUACUUUGCUUAGUUUGCAUGUUUGGACCACUUGUGUAGACAGACUAUCUGCCUUUAGCAUUCCAGUGUCUAAAUCAUUACUCUCAAUAAAUUAGGAAUUGUUUACUUCAAAAUAGCAAUUAGAUAGAUAGAUAGACAACAAUGAUUUUACUUAACUCAUAAAAUACUGUUUUUUAGGCAUCCAGUUACCAUCUCUUUCUUUCACAUGAAUAUCCUUCCAUCUAGUCUAAAUCUGUUGACAUUGGAAUGUAAAGAAUGCUAUUGGUAACGCAGAGGUAUCUUCAUAUAUGUAAAUCACAACCUUUUACAUCGCUCACAGUAUAGCUUUGUAACACCAAGUGCAGCAGAAACAAACAAUAAAAGGCUUUAGCCCUUUGUAUGAAUUAGAUGCAUUCAAGCUUUCCAGGUUCUGGACCAUUUAUUUUUAUUUCUCGUGUUUGUCAUAUACUUAAAUAUGCAACUGAAAUAUUUAAAGACAAAUGGUACAUCAAAUUACAUUUUUUUUUUAGCAUAUGUUAUAUACCAGGCACUGUGUUAAGAGGGAAUGAGGACUUUAGAAAAUGUUUAAAGCCUGGUCUCUAUUCUGCAGGAAUGUAAAGUUAAUUUCAUCCUGAAAAGUUAUAUAGAACAUGCAUUAGAUGUAUUUGUUUAAGUAGUGGAAUAUUAAAUGUCAAGAAUACAGUCAUCCUUCCAUGUACUGAGGGGGAUUGUUUCUAGGACCCUCACAGAUACCAAAAUCUGAGGAUGCUCAAGCCCCUUAAUAUAAAAUGUAGUAUUUGCAUAUAACCUCUGCACACCC